rnacentral:rRNA from 1 species
CCUGUCCUACGGGAGGCAGCAGUGAGGAAUAUUGGUCAAUGGGCUUACGCCUGAACCAGCCAAGUCGCGUGAGGGAAGACUGCCCUAUGGGUUGUAAACCUCUUUUGUCAGGGAGCAACGCCGGCUACGUGUAGCCGGACUGAGAGUACCUGAAGAAAAAGCAUCGGCUAACUCCGUGCCAGCAGCCGCGGUCAUACGUAGGAUCCGAGCAUUAUCCGGAGUGACUGGGCGUAAAGAGUUGCGUAGGUGGCAUAAUAAGUAGCUAGUGAAAUCUGGUGGCUCAACCAUUCAGACUAUUAGCUAAA